rnacentral:rRNA from 1 species
AAACAGAUGCUAAUACCGGAUAAAAAGCUACUUUCGCAUGAAAGAAGUUUAAAAAGGACGGCGUAAAGCUGUCGCUAAAGGAUGGACCUGCGAUGCAUUAGCUAGUUGGUAAGGUAACGGCUUACCAAGGCGAUGAUGCAUAGCCGAGUUGAGAGACUGAUCGGCCACAUUGGGACUGAGACACGGCCCAAACUCCUACGGGAGGCAGCAGUAGGGAAUCUUCCACAAUGGACGCGAGUCUGAUGGAGCAACGCCGCGUGAGUGAAGAAGGUUUUCGGAUCGUAAAGCUCUGUUGUUGGUGAAGAAGGAUAGAGGUAGUAACUGGCCUUUAUUUGACGGUAAUCAACCAGAAAGUCACGGGCUAACUACGUGCCAGCAGCCGCGGUAAAU